rnacentral:rRNA from 1 species
UAGGGAAUCUUCCGCAAUGGGCGAAAGCCUGACGGAGCAACGCCGCGUGAGUGAUGAAGGGUUUCGGCUCGUAAAACUCUGUUGUUAGGGAAGAACAAAUGUGUAAGUAACUGUGCACGUCUUGACGGUACCUAAUCAGAAAGCCACGGCUAACUACGUGCCAGCAGCCGCGGUAAUACGUAGGCGGCAAGCGUUAUCCGGAAUUAUUGGGCGUAAAGCGCGCGUAGGCGGUUUCUUAAGUCUGAUGUGAAAGCCCACGGCUCAACCGUGGAAGGUCAUUGGAAACUGGGAAACUUGAGUGCAGAAGAGGAAAGUGGAAUUCCAUGUGUAGCGGUGAAAUGCGCAGAGAUAUGGAGGAACACCAGUGGCGAAGGCGACUUUCUGGUCUGUAACUGACGCUGAUGUGCGAAAGCGUGGGGAUCAANAAACAGGAUUAGAUCCCCNGGUAGUCCCCCCCGUAAACGAUGAGUGCUAAGUGUUAGGGGGUUUCCGCCCCUUAGUGCUGCAGCUAACGCAUUAAGCACUCCGCCUGGGGAGUACGACCGCAAGGUUG